UACGAAGGGGGCUAGCGUUGCUCGGAAUUACUGGGCGUAAAGGGCGCGUAGGCGGAUAGUUUAGUCAGAGGUGAAAGCCCAGGGCUCAACCUUGGAACUGCCUUUGAUACUGGCUAUCUUGAGUUCGGGAGAGGUGAGUGGAAUGCCGAGUGUAGAGGUGAAAUUCGUAGAUAUUCGCAAGAACACCAGUGGCGAAGGCGGCUCACUGGCCCGGAACUGACGCUGAGACGCGAAAGCGUGGGGAGCAAACAGG
rnacentral:rRNA from 1 species